rnacentral:rRNA from 1 species
AGCAUUAUACCGCGAAACUGCGAAUGGCUCAUUAAAUCAGUUAUCGUUUAUUUGAUAGCACCUUACUACUUGGAUAACCGUGGUAAUUCUAGAGCUAAUACAUGCUGAAAAUCCCAACUUCGGAAGGGAUGUAUUUAUUAGAUUAAAAACCAAUGCCCUCCGGGGCUCACUGGUGAUUCAUAAUAACUUCUCGAAUCGCAUGGCCUUGCGCCGGCGAUGGUUCAUUCAAAUUUCUGCCCUAUCAACUUUCGACUGCUGGGUCUUGGCCAGCAAUGGUGACAACGGGUAACGGAGGGUUAGGGCUCGACCCCGGAGAAGGAGCCUGAGAGACGUGAGUUAUACCCUUAAAACAAUAUUUUCCGCAAGACAAUGAGCUAACAUCCAUCGCAGGGCUACUACAUCCAAGGAAGGCAGCAGGCGCGCAAAUUACCCAAUCCCGACACGGGGAGGUAGUGACAAUAAAUACUGAUACAGGGCUCUUUUGGGUCUUGUAAUUGGAAUGAGUACAAUUUAAAUCCCUUAACGAGGAACAAUUGGAGGGCAAGUCUGGUGCCAGCAGCCGCGGUAAUUCCAGCUCCAAUAGCGUAUAUUAAAGUUGUUGCAGUUAAAAAGCUCGUAGUUGAACCUUGGGCCUGGCCGGCCGGUCCGCCUCACCGCGUGCACUGGUUCGGCCGGGCCUUUUCCUCUGGCGAGCCCCAUGCCCUUCACUGGGCGUGUGGGGGAACCAGGACUUUUACUUUGAAAAAAUUAGAGUGUUCAAAGCAGGCCUAUGCUCGAAUACAUUAGCAUGGAAUAAUAGAAUAGGACGUGCGGUUCUAUUUUGUUGGUUUCUAGGACCGCCGUAAUGAUUAAUAGGGACAGUCGGGGGCAUCAGUAUUCAAUUGUCAGAGGUGAAAUUCUUGGAUUUAUUGAAGA